ACCAGACUCCUACGGGAGGCAGCAGUGGGGAAUAUUGGGCAAUGGGCGCAAGCCUGACCCAGCAACGCCGCGUGAAGGAAGAAGGCUUUCGGGUUGUAAACUUCUUUUGACAGGGAAGAGCAGAAGACGGUACCUGUCGAAUAAGCCACGGCUAACUACGUGCCAGCAGCCGCGGUAAUACGUAGGUGGCAAGCGUUAUCCGGAUUUACUGGGGGUAAAGGGCGUGUAGGCGGGAAAGCAAGUCAGAUGUGAAAAGCAUGGGCUCAACCUGUGGCCUGCAUUUGAAACUGGUUUUCUUGAGUACUGGAGAGGCAGACGGAAUUCCUAGUGGAGCGGUGAAAUGCGUAGAUAUUAGGAGGAACACCAGUGGCGAAGGCGGUCUGCUGGACUGUAACUGACGUUGAGGCUCGAAAGCGUGGGGAGCAAACAGGAUUA
rnacentral:rRNA from 1 species